rnacentral:rRNA from 1 species
AACGAACGCUGGCGGCAGGCCUAACACAUGCAAGUCGAACGGGACCUUCGGGUCUAGUGGCGGACGGGUGAGUAACGCGGGGGAACGUGCCCUUUGGUUCGGAAUAGCCCCGGGAAACUGGGAGUAAUACCGGAUAAGCCCUACGGGGGAAAGAUUUAUCGCCAAAGGAUCGGCCCGCGUUGGAUUAGGUAGUUGGGGAGGUAAUGGCUCACCAAGCCGACGAUCCAUAGCUGGUUUGAGAGGAUGAUCAGCCACACUGGGACUGAGACACGGCCCAGACUCCUACGGGAGGCAGCAGUGGGGAAUCUUAGACAAUGGGGGAAACCCUGAUCUAGCCAUGCCGCGUGAUCGAUGAAGGCCUUAGGGUUGUAAAGAUCUUUCAGUGGGGAAGAUAAUGACUGUACCCACAGAAGAAGCCCCGGCUAACUCCGUGCCAGCCGCCGCAGUAA